GUGCCAGCCGCCGCGGUAAUACGGAGGGUGCAAGCGUUGUCCGGAUUUAUUGGGUUUAAAGGGUGCGUAGGCGGAUCUUUAAGUCAGUGGUGAAAGCCUGCAGCUUAACUGUAGAAUUGCCAUUGAUACUGGAGGUCUUGAGUACACUAGAGGUAGGCGGAAUUUAUGGUGUAGCGGUGAAAUGCAUAGAUACCAUAAAGAACACCUAUAGCGUAGGCAGCUUACUGGAGUGUAACUGACGCUGAGGCACGAAAGCAUGGGUAGCGAACAGGAUUAGAAACCCCGGUAGUCC
rnacentral:rRNA from 1 species